rnacentral:lncRNA from 8 species
AUGUCGGAACCUUGGAGCGUCGCUCUCAGCAUUCUGAAGAAUCCAGAGGGUAGCAGUAAGACCGCAGGAGAACAACCCCAGCCGUGCUCUGUGUGUGUGUGUGUAACCCCAGCGGCCGUAGUUCCCACUGAUCCCUGUGAAAGCCUCUCUGGUGCACGCCUUGAGUUCAGAAGGCCUCAGAAAGCUUGGAUGGAGAAAGGGAGAGGAUGUGAGGAGAAAGAAGUAUAUUGUGUCCAUGUGUUAACCUUCUCUUCCUCCUCUCUCUCUCCCUCCUCUCUCUCUCCCCUCUCUCUCCUCUCCCUCCUCUUCUCUCUCUCCCUCCUCUCUCUCUCUCUCUCUCUCGCUCUCCUUCCUCUCUCUCCCUCUUCCCUCUCUAUGCAGGUGUUGGAUCAGGAUCACUUUAGUCCCAUCCCUAUGGCCACAGAGGAGGAACAAAGAUGGUUCACUUCCCAGUUUCCAUUCCAAGACCCUGAACUGGACAAGCUUCCAUUCCCUAAAAGAUUCCGUUCUCUGAGUUUUGUUCCUCAAGUCUCAGCUCAAAGAGUUCAUCUACACCUGCCUCAAGUACUAUGAAGACCUGCACCUCAGGUACACACACACACACACACACACACACACACACACACACACACACACACACACACACACACACACACACACACACACACACACACACACACACACAUACAUACAUACAUACAUACAAUUGGUGUCACUUGCACACUGAAAUACAGAGAUGCAUACAAAGCUCUCCC